GGCAGAGAAUGUUUCAGAGCUAAUUUUGUUAGCGACGAUUAAUGUGUUACUGUGACUUUGGGAUCAAGCAACAACAGCUUCCGUGAUUGCUAGCGUUAGCUAGAUGGGGCUGGAGAGGAAGUGGGGCUUAGCUUACGUUGAGAGCAAGGUGGGCAGAGCCGCUGAAGGAUAUCAGCUCAGGCAGAGGCACAGAAGAGGACACACACAACAGAGGAGCGGGGUGGCAAGGACGGAGAGGAGGAAGGGCGGAAAGAUGUGGCUAAAAGACCAAGCAAAACGACGAAAAUCGCUCAAAAAUGCGAUACCAGCCUGGACAGAUGACAGGGGUUAGACACGGCCUGGAUAAUGGGGAUUCUCCUUGAUGUUUCAAAAACUGUGUCAAAAGGGAUGCUGGUCACAUGACCGCCAAGCUAAAUGGACUGACAUUUAGCCACUAUGGAGUCGUGACUUGAAGAAUUCAAGUGACUUGCACUGCAGUGGGGAUCUCAGAGAUAUGGACUGAUGUGAUUUUCAA